rnacentral:piRNA from 1 species
UGAGAUUAAAUGUGUGUCCCACCACGCUCU